UACAGGGGGGCAAGCGUUGUCCGGAUUUACUGGGCGUAAAGGGCGCGUAGGCGGUCAGCACAAGUCAGUUGUGAAAUCUCCGGGCUUAACUCGGAAAGGUCAACUGAUACUGUGCGACUAGAGUGCGGAAGGGGCAACUGGAAUUCUCGGUGUAGCGGAUGAAUGCGUAGAUAUCGAGAGGAACACCUGCGGCGAAGGCGGGUUGCUGGGCCGACACUGACGCUGAUGCGCGAAAGCCAGGGGAGCGAACGGG
rnacentral:rRNA from 1 species